GGGGACAACCCGCCGAAAGGCGGGCUAAACCCGCGUACAUGCCACCGGGGCAUCCCGGAGGCAGGAAAGGCUUCGGCCGGACAGGGAUGGGCAUGCGGCGCAUUAGGCAGUAGGCGGGGUAACGGCCCACCUAACCGACGAUGCGUAGGGGUUCUGAGAGGAAGGUCCCCCACACUGGUACUGAGACACGGACCAGACUCCUACGGGAGGCAGCAGUGAGGAAUAUUGGUCAAUGGUCGGGAGACUGAACCAGCCAAGCCGCGUGAGGGAUGAAGGUACAGAGUAUCGUAAACCUCUUUUGUCAGGGAACAAAGGCGGGGACGUGUCCCCGGAUGAGUGUACCUGAAGAAAAAGCAUCGGCUAACUCCGUGCCAGCAGCCGCGGUAAUACGGAGGAUGCGAGCGUUAUCCGGAUUUAUUGGGUUUAAAGGGUGCGCAGGCGGUCUGUUAAGUCAGCGGUCAAAGCCCGGGGCUCAACCCCGGUCCGCCGUUGAAACUGGCAGUCUCGAGUUGGAGAGAAGUAUGCGGAAUGCGCGGUGUAGCGGUGAAAUGCAUAGAUAUCGCGCAGAACUCCGAUUGCGAAGGCAGCAUGCCGGCUCCACACUGACGCUGAGGCACGAAAGCGUGGGUAUCGAACAGGAUUAGAUACCCUGGUAGUCCACGCAGUAAACG
rnacentral:rRNA from 1 species